rnacentral:rRNA from 1 species
GAUGAACGCUGGCGGCGUGCCUAAUACAUGCAAGUCGAGCGAACGGACGAGAAGCUUGCUUCUCUGAUGUUAGCGGCGGACGGGUGAGUAACACGUGGAUAACCUACCUAUAAGACUGGGAUAACUUCGGGAAACCGGAGCUAAUACCGGAUGAUAUUUUGAACCGCAUGGUUCAAAAGUGAAAGACGGUCUUGCUGUCACUUAUAGAUGGAUCCGCGCUGCAUUAGCUAGUUGGUAAGGUAACGGCUUACCAAGGCAACGAUGCAUAGCCGACCUGAGAGGGUGAUCGGCCACCCUGGAACUGAGACACGGUCCAGACUCCUACGGGAGGCAGCAGUAGGGAAUCUUCCGCAAUGGGCGAAAGCCUGACGGAGCAACGCCGCGUGAGUGAUGAAGGUCUUCGGAUCGUAAAACUCUGUUAUUAGGGAAGAACAUAUGUGUAAGUAACUGUGCACAUCUUGACGGUACCUAAUCAGAAAGCCACGGCUAACUACGUG